rnacentral:lncRNA from 1 species
CUCAGAAUUUCUCAGUCCACAACCCACUUUAUGUCACAGAAUUUAGGAGACAAUGUGACUUGUCUGUUGAGUGAGACAAAGAUAAGGCAGUAAGUCUUUGAAAACAGCAAACCAUUUUUGCACUAGCAGAAGCAGACUUCCUCUCUCUCAAGCGUGAAAGAAGCUGAGACAUGAAGUCAAAAAGCAGACAGGGUGAUCUUUCUUGCAGGGAGCCUGAUUCCACAGACAUAUUGAUUGACACAGCUAAUGAAGACAGAAAAGUUUCAUACUUAGAAGAAAAUAAUAGAACGACUCUUCCUGUGGGAGACUGAAUUUCUGGCCUGAUUUCUCCAUCCUUCACUGUAGUUAUGACCUUGAAGAACUUCACACUGCAGGUGGGGUGAUAUUCAUGCUUCUUGAUUCUGGCCUAUGCUACAGCAUUCUGUGCUAGUGGAUGUGAUACAAACAAAAGCUUGAAAUGGUCUUCAAUAAUAAAGUUGCUGUUUUGAACCUUGGACAUUAACUGAUUAGCCUACUGCUCCCAGGAGGGGAAUGAGAAAUACGUGCAGCAGAGGUAACCUAAAGAAGCAG